rnacentral:rRNA from 1 species
UGAGGAAUCUUCCACAAUGGGCGAAAGCCUGAUGGAGCGACACCGCGUGAAGGAUGAAGGAUUUGUUUCUGUAAACUUCUUUUCUGUGGGACGAUAAUGACGGUACCACAGGAAUAAGGGACGGCUAACUACGUGCCAGCAGCCGCGGUAAUACGUAGGUCCCAAGCGUUAUCCGGAAUUACUGGGCGUAAAGCGUCUGUAGGUGGAUUUUUAAGUUUCGUAUGAAAGACCAGGGCUCAACCCUGUGUUUGUACGAAAAACUGGAAGUCUAGAGUCAGGGAGAGGUAAGUAGAAUUGUAUGAGUAGGGGUGCAAUCCGUAGAUACAUACAAGAAUACCAAAAGCGAAGGCAACUUACUGGAACUGUACUGACACUGAGAGACGAAAGCGUGGGGAGCGAAAAGG